rnacentral:rRNA from 1 species
GGCCUGAGAGGGUGACCGGCCACACUGGGACUGAGACACGGCCCAGACUCCUACGGGAGGCAGCAGUGGGGAAUAUUGCACAAUGGGCGAAAGCCUGAUGCAGCGACGCCGCGUGAGGGAUGACGGCCUUCGGGUUGUAAACCUCUUUCAGUAGGGAAGAAGCGAAAGUGACGGUACCUGCAGAAGAAGCGCCGGCUAACUACGUGCCAGCAGCCGCUGUAAUACGUAGGGCGCAAGCGUUAUCCGGAAUUAUUGGGCGUAAAGAGCUCGUAGGCGGUUUGUCGCGUCUGCUGUGAAAGGCCAGGGCUCAACCCUGGUUCUGCAGUGGGUACGGGCAGACUUGAGUGAUGUAGG